AGAGUUUGAUCCUGGCUCAGGAUGAACGCUAGCUACAGGCUUAACACAUGCAAGUCGAGGGGCAGCAUGACCUAGCAAUAGGUUGAUGGCGACCGGCGCACGGGUGAGUAACACGUAUCCAACCUACCGGUUAUUCCGGGAUAGCCUUUCGAAAGAAAGAUUAAUACCGGAUAGUAUAGCGAGAAGGCAUCUUCUUGCUAUUAAAGAAUUUCGAUGACCGAUGGGGAUGCGUUCCAUUAGUUUGUUGGCGGGGUAACGGCCCACCAAGACAUCGAUGGAUAGGGGUUCUGAGAGGAAGGUCCCCCACAUUGGAACUGAGACACGGUCCAAACUCCUACGGGAGGCAGCAGUGAGGAAUAUUGGUCAAUGGACGAGAGUCUGAACCAGCCAAGUAGCGUGAAGGAUGACUGCCCUAUGGGUUGUAAACUUCUUUUAUAUGGGAAUAAAGUGAGCCACGUGUGGCUUUUUGUAUGUACCAUACGAAUAAGGAUCGGCUAACUCCGUGCCAGCAGCCGCGGUAAUACGGAGGAUCCGAGCGUUAUCCGGAUUUAUUGGGUUUAAAGGGAGCGUAGGUGGACUGGUAAGUCAGUUGUGAAAGUUUGCGGCUCAACCGUAAAAUUGCAGUUGAUACUGUCAGUCUUGAGUACAGUAGAGGUGGGCGGAAUUCGUGGUGUAGCGGUGAAAUGCUUAGAUAUCACGAAGAACUCCGAUUGCGAAGGCAGCUUACUGGACUGCAACUGACACUGAUGCUCGAAAGUGUGGGUAUCAAACAGGAUUAGAUACCCUGGUAGUCCACACAGUAAACGAUGAAUACUCGCUGUUUGCGAUAUAC
rnacentral:rRNA from 1 species